CUUUUUUUUUUUUUUUUUUUUUUUUUUUUUUUUUUUUUGGGCUGUUCCCAUAGCGUAUGGAAGUUCCCAGGCCAGGGAUCGAACCCACACCACAGCACGGACCUGAGCUGCUAUAGUGACAAUGCCAGAUCCUUAAGCCACUGCACCGCAAGAGAACCCCAACACAUUCUAUUUUAGAUUCUUUUUCGGAUUCUUUUUCAUCAUAGGUUAUUACCAGAUACUGAGUGUAGUUCCCUGUCUUACACAGAGCUGGGUCCUUAAAUCCACGAUUUACCUAUUCAUUCAAGGAAUAUUGUUCCAAGGCUCUAUUCACUAUAAAUGUUCUAAACACUGAGGAUGCAACUGCAGAACAAAACAAAGUCCCUCCUCCCAUGACAUUUUUAUUCAAAUGAAGGAACAGGCAAUGAAUAAACAGUGAAGAGCAAAUCUUUAGUGAUAAGGGUUGUGAAGAAGUAAGACGAAUGAGUGGAACAGACAGUGGCUGGGGUGAAAAGCACAUGCUCUAAAGAGAUGGGUUCGUGGGGAGGCCUUCUGUGAGGGGAGAUUCGAGCUGAGACUUGACAGAUGAGAACCUCCAAAAAAUAGCCAAGAAAAGUAUGCUCUGGGCAGAGGAAGAUACAAAAGGCCUGAGCUGGACCAAGCCAAGUGUGUUCCAAAAACUGGUCAAGGUGUCUGUACCACGGCGCGUACAGGAAUGGUUCAAGUGCAUAAGCAUGAGGUCCUGCUGUUCAGCACCGGGAACUGAACGCAGUCUCUUGGGACAGACCAUGAUGGGUGAUAAGAAAAGGAAUGCAUAUAUGUGCAUAACUGGGUCACUUGGCUGUACAGCAGAAAUUGGCACAACACUGUAAAUGAACUAUAAUUUUUUUAAAAAAUGGGAAGAAAAAAAAAAGGAUGGUUCGAGGAGAAAUUGCAGAAAAAGGCAUGGCACCAGAUCACGCUGGUAAAGGGGUUGGUUUUAUUCUAAGAACACUGGAAAGUCAUCAGCAGGUGUUCACAGGGAGGGGACAUUUGGAGACUCUUUGGAGAAAAAGGAGGGAGAGGAUGGUGGCUUGGACCAGAGGAGCAGAUACGGGAAAAGGUGCAUCCGUCCCCCGGUGCACGUUCCGUUGACACAUUUCCAUGAUUUCAUUCCCAUGGAAAAAGCCCCUGAUUUUCUCCUGGGCUGUUUAUAUUUUGUUUUGUAGAAGCCUGUUUUUGUCUUUGCACAUCCAGCAGCCCCAUGAAAUGACCACCCGCCCUUUUGGCAAGUGUGAGACCAGGGGAGGACAGCCCGCUCACUCCUGACAAGGCGUGCACUCCGGGGUGUCAAUCUCUGGAGUAUUCACCUUUCCCGCUAUUUUCCCCCCUAGCUUUGGUUUCGAAGCCCUUCUGAUGCUCUUUGUCAAUUAUGCAAUGCUUUCCAUGUGAGUGGAAGGAGAAUUCAUACCCUUUGGAGUGGUUAAGUGCCUUUAAAUGAUUUAAAAUGCUGGGAAGAUCUUUCACUCUUUGGCGAGGGGAUUUGGAGAGCAUGCUAUUUCCAGCUGUGGGUGAGAGCCGUAUUUGGAAGGAGAAAUUCUUAGCAUCCAGAAUAUCGUAGAAUACAUCCAGGUGUUCUUUAAAAAACUGCAAAAAAAUAUUGCACGAAGAAGAAUCUUUCAUUGUUCCUUCAAGAUGCCACGCUUCUUCCUUAGUGUAAAUGGAUCCCAGCAAGUGCUUCUGAAAGGACUCUUGGAAAAGUUCCAGUCCGCUAGGAUGGAAAGCGGGCUUUUGAGAACAUUAAAAGCAGGAAACUGGAGCGAGAGAAUGUAGGCAUUUGCAAAGGUGCUAAAGAUGAACAGGACUUAACUUUGUAAAGAAAGGCGUCUGGAGUGGGUGGUAGAAAAUUCCCUUCUGAAGACCGAGAGUUAGAAAGAAAGGGGGUUGAGAGGAGGAGUCAAGAAGUCAUAAGCCAUUCCACGGAUGGGGCUGGGUGAAGAAAGGGAAGGAAAAAAGCAAGGCCAUGCCCUUGCGACUCAAGCAAAACCACUGCACCAGCACCUGCGCCCGCUGUCAGCGCGCAAGCGCUUACACUCGGCGUCACUCUCACCGGCGUGUGAGAGCACAGGCCUGGAUGCCGAGGCCGGCCUCCGGGCGAACAAUCGAACAAUCGGACAACACACGCCUUUGUGCUGCUUUCAGAGAAGGGAUAUGGGGGUGAUGGAAUCAUGGACCAUUUCAGACUAAAGACUGAAUUAAGGCUGCUGGGCUCUGAUCCAAUUAAUAGCAGAGCAAUUCAACGUAAUUGACCCCAGAAUAGGUGGCUGGGUGACACAUGGCUGGAGCUUUGACAGCUUAGCAGUGAGAUCAGGGAAGGAAAUUAAUAUGUGAUUUGAGUAAAUUCAGGCACCUGGUAGUUUAAUAGAUGGAGACACUUUGAUCUUUUGUUAUGGGAUUGACUCCGGCCCAGGGGGAAGUUACUGGAAAAUUGAUGGCAGUAAACUGGCCUCCGUGACAGGCCACUCCAGGGCUCAAGGCUCCUUCCUGGAUCGCCCAGGGGAAGUGACACCACAACAGCCCUGGCACACGCUCACGUAUUCAGCUCUCCCAGACCCACCUGGUGCUGCCUCCUGGGCGGGUGGCUGUAAAGCAUGAGAAACGGUGAAAAGUUUUGGAAACCCGAAGGAAGAUGUAAAAAUGCCGGAAAGACCUGGGCUGGACAGGGUUCAAGCAGUACCCUUUUCAUCAAACCAAGAAAUUGACCACAAGCUGGUUUCGCCUGGAUUCUGGGCUUACAUUUGAUCCAGCAUUUUCAUGCUGCUCUAAAGACGAGGGCCGCGGGCUUGGCUGAACCCUAGAAUACUCUUUAUCUUUCCAUUCUCGUGGCCAUGGCAUGUGCCAGGCCCUCUCCUCAGCUGGUCUGUAGGCUUGUAGGCGAGGCGUGUGCCCUGAUCUGAUCUACGUGAAAUGGGAGGGUUUAGAUUUUUCAUUAGCGUUUUCACAUGGAGAAGAAUUCCGUGAGCAUAAAAUUUCAAGCUCUGUGGGAAUAAAUGAAGUAAAAAGGAAAAGAAUAUUUUAACUUUAAACGGGCAUUACCCAAUUGCCUUCCAAAAAUUCUGCACCAAUUUGCACUCAUGCAAAGGGUAAAUGGGUCUCUUUCAUAUCUUUGCCAAGAAGUGGAAUAACCGUUUAGCGUAUCUGGAUCUAAACUUGGGGGGACGGGAUGUGGGUUUGGAGGGGUUUUUUUUAACCUCUCUCUCUUUUUUUUUUUUUUUUUUUUUUUUUUCUUUUUUCUCUUUUAUAGCUGCACCUGCGGCAUAUGGAAGUCCCCGGGCCAGGGGUUGAAUCGGAGCUGUGGCUGCAGGCCUACCCCACAGCCAUGGCCAGGCCACACUUGCAGCAACACUGGAUCCCUAACCCACUGAGUGAGGCCAGGGAUCAAACCUGCCUCCUCACAGAGACAACAUCGGGUCCUUAACCCACUGGGCCACAACGGACCUCCCCGAGGUUGUUUUGUUUCGUUCUGCAAAGUGGGAUCACACGCUCCUCCAGGCCCGUCCAUCUCUCUCUCUCUCUCUCCUCUGCCCCUUUCUGAAAAUGCCAGUUCUCAGCCAACGCUCACCGCCCUCUCCUGGGCCUGGAACCCUUCCUCACUUCUCUGAAACAGCCUCCUCCGCAAGCCUUGGCUCAAAGGAAGCUCCUCCUGGCAGCGUCUCCCUCUCCGCCGUUCUAAUGAGCGAGCAGGCUCACUCUGACGUGACUGUCUAGGCUGCGUCUCUACCUAGUGGCCUCCAGGGACGUGUCCUGAGCUACAAAGCUCCCCUUCGGGAAUCUGGCCCCCCUCGCCCUGGCCACCGUCGUUCCCAGGCCGGCUGGCGCCGGGCCAAGGACAACGAUGCCCCGGCUGAACCCGCGGACGAAGAGCGUCGCCGUCUUGUUCUUGGAGGCCGGGGGUGGAGGCGAGGCAGGGGACGUGGCAGCUGCGAUGCCCACUGCGUCAGUCCCACCUUCCUCGUGCCCGGAACCCGGGCCCAACAGCCUCGGGCGCUCUGAGGACACGCGCCUCGCUUCGGGGUCUCUUUCCGUGAGGAAACUGGGGACCCGCCAUCACAUCUUGAGCAGCUUGCUUCAGCGCCUCUUCCAAGGUGUGAUGCACACCGCAGACGCCACGGUCCUAGUUUUUCGGUCGGAAAGGAAAAGCACGGGAAGUUCACGGCAAUUCGACGUGACCGGGAUUCCUCGCGUGGGGGGCGGCUUGCUCCCUUUUGCUGAGCUCGGGGUCGCUGCCCCUUCGGGCAGGUCUGAAGAGCAUCAGACAACCGUGAUCCGCAUGUCACCUUUCAUCCCUCGGGUCCCGGCUGUGUCCUGAGCCAAGUCCCUCAGAGGCCGCUGCGGAGGUGGGAUCAGAAGGCAGGGAAGGAAGCGCCCACGGGAGAGCGGAGGAGGAGGAGGUGGGGAAGCACGUCAGCACAGGCUGGGUCAAGGGCAGACCAGCCCGUGAGCAGCUGGGGCUCAGACCUGCUGGAGACGCCUGCCAGACCAGGCAAGACGCCCUCCCAGGGGUCCCCCCGGGAGACUAGGACUCCGGAGCACUUGGAUUCCACUUCCGGUCCGUGACUGGAUGGACACGUGUGAGGCCCCCUGGCCCCUGGCUCCCAUCCUCUGAGGCCUGCUCGGAGCUCCCUGGGCCCGAGAAAGCCCUAGGCAGACAGUUCGACAUGCAGGCAGCAUGUGCCAGACAGGGUGUGCCAGAGAGACAAGGGCAGCACAUCGAUGGCAUCUGCUCUGCCAUCGUCAGAGAAAGGCUCAGGUAGGCCCGUACUGGCACCAAGUCCUGCCUCCUCCACAAACAGGCAGGGCUUAAGGAGGACACUCACAGAAACACUAGUUAGAAUGGUCGAAUCCAGGGCCGAGCAUAAAAAACAAAAAUCACUGCUAGCCGAUGUGGCAGUGAGUCAAGGCUUCAGACGAGGGCUCAUGGAUCCCGGUGACCUACCAGGAGGAGAACAGGCCCUCAGGUUGUGGUUGGUCUAAGAAGAAUGGGAAGUGGGGUAGCCCCAAAUCCAAGCGAAUUCAGGAGCCCGGCUCGGCCAAGAGCCAUCUAAAGCAGAACCACCCGCGUCUGCAGACAUCCCAACAGGAAAAAUAAAUGCUUACGAUUGUAACUGCUGCUUGCUUUUCAGAUUCAUGGGUGAUGCGGCAGCAUCACAACAGUAGCUGACGGAUGGCGUACAAGGGGACAGAUCGAGUAUGGCAAUGAGGACGAUAGUUUAAACAAGAUUAUUACAGUCCUCAUGGAGGUGGCGUGGACACUGCAGACCACAUCACUGGGGGGACAGAAUCAACGAGAGAGCUGGUGAAUUGUAAAUUAUACUGUGGAAAGUCAAAGCUCAGUUACACAGGCUAAACAGCAGCAUGGAAACCCAUAAAGAGAAAGUUCAUUAGUUUACAGAUAGAUUGGGCCAAACAUUUGAUCUGACAGUCAACAUAAAGAAAAAGAAAAUUAUGAAGUGAACAUGAGAACGUAACGCACAGAUCCAAGGAAGAAAGGGAGGAUGUGGAAAGUGGUGAUAGAAAAAAAAUCCCAGAACCUCAUCAAAUGUCGGAGCAGGAGUGGAAAAGGGCCAUUGCCUAGACACACCUUGGUGAAACGUCCUUAGGAUAAGAUUCUGGAGUGGGGGUGGCGGGGGAGAAAGAGCCCUACAAAAACCACAGAAUGGAUGAACACAAAUGCCUUCACCAGGAAUGCUGGAUUUCAACAUUAAGUUUUUUAAAAAAGGCUUUAGUACCUUAGGAACAGAGGACAAGGUUGUUAAUUCUUUGAAAGUUACUCCCGGAACCUACCGCAACUCCCUACUUAACGGUGAGCCGCGUGUUAUUCCUCCUGCAGUGUGUCGACUUUAAUUUUCAAUUUCAAACACAUGUGUUCAAGGUACAUGGGUGGACAUCUAUACAGACCCUCUGAAGGCUGCGUGAGCACGUUCUAACGUGUUUCAUCAGCGCCUCUUUCAUGGGGAGUGACUGUCUCUAAUGCAGAAUCUAGAAAGUGUGCUGCGGUGAACAACAGAGUUGAAAUUUCCCACCUCCUCCUCCCGAACCUUGAUGGGAUAGCAUCGAUGCGUUUAAAGUUGCCCGCACUAAGGACGGAAAUGUACAUCUUGCAGGUUGGAAUAAAAAAAAUUCUUUUAAAAGCACUGUCGGAUUCCUUUCCGUUGUGCCACAGCGGGAACUCCUCAUUUGUGCCAUUUUUAGAUCCACCUACGAGUGACCUCACAUGGUGUUUGUCUUUCUCUUUCUGCCUGACUUCACUUAGGUCCAUCCAUGCUGCUGAGAGUGGUAUUCUGUUCUUUUUUGUGGCCGAGUAGUAUUCCACUGUGUAUAUGUCCACAUGGUCUUCAUCC
rnacentral:lncRNA from 1 species